rnacentral:rRNA from 1 species
AGAGGAAGUAAAAGUCGUAACAAGGUUUCCGUAGGUGAACCUGCGGAAGGAUCAUUAUUGAAUGAACAUAGAGUCGGUUGUAGCUGGCCCCUUUUAACCGGGGGGCAUGUGCACGCCUUCUCUUUUCAUCCAUACACACACCUGUGAACUUGUGAGACGGAUUUCGACCCUCUCCGGGGGGGAAAGGUCCGUCUGCUAUACAUAAACUCCUGAAUAAUAAAUUAGAAUGUAAUCGAUGUAACGCAUCUUUAAACUAAGUUUCAACAACGGAUCUCUUGGCUCUCGCAUCGAUGAAGAACGCAGCGAAAUGCGAUAAGUAAUGUGAAUUGCAGAAUUCAGUGAAUCAUCGAAUCUUUGAACGCACCUUGCGCUCCUUGGUAUUCCUCGGAGCAUGCCUGUUUGAGUAUCAUGAAAUCUUCAAAAUAAAUCUUUUGUUCACUCGAUUGAUUUUAUUUUGGACUUGGAGGCUUGCAGAUUCACGUCUGCUCCUCUUAAAUUUAUUAGCUGGAUCUCGGUGAGCUCGGUUCCACUCGGCGUGAUAAGUAUCACUCGCUGAGGACACUGUAAAAGGUGGCCGGGAUUGCGGAUGAACCGCUUCUAAUAGUCCAUUGACUUGGACAAUAAAUACUUUAUGAUCUGAUCUCAAAUCAGGUAGGACUACCCGCUGAACUUAAGCAUAUCAAUAAGCGGAGGAAAAGAAACUAACAA